UACAGAGGUCUCAAGCGUUGUUCGGAUUCAUUGGGCGUAAAGGGUGCGUAGGCGGUCGGGUAAGUCUGAUGUGAAAUCUCACAGCUUAACUGUGAAACUGCAUUGGAUACUAUUCGGCUUGAGGUCUGGAGGGGGGACUGGAAUUCUCGGUGUAGCAGUGAAAUGCGUAGAUAUCGAGAGGAACACCAGUGGCGAAGGCGAGUCCCUGGACAGGUCCUGACGCUGAGGCACGAAAGCUAGGGGAGCAAACAGG
rnacentral:rRNA from 1 species